rnacentral:rRNA from 1 species
UACGUAGGGGGCAAGCGUUGUCCGGAUUUAUUGGGCGUAAAGAGCGUGUAGGCGGCCUUACAGGUCAGCUGUGAAAACUCGAGGCUCAACCUCGAGACGUCGGUUGAAACCGUAAGGCUAGAGUCCGGAAGAGGAGAGUGGAAUUCCCGGUGUAGCGGUGAAAUGCGCAGAUAUCGGGAAGAACACCCGUGGCGAAGGCGGUUCUCUGGGACGGUACUGACGCUGAGACGCGAAAGCGUGGGGAGCGAACAGG